UAGCAUUCUACUGAAGCUCAAUCUUUUCUCUGAGAGUCUCCUGUUACUCAACCAAACCAUUAGAGGGACCAUUUGUGUGUUUAGCCUAAGCCCGAAACCAAGUGAGUUCAUAACAAUUGCAUUGCUUGAUCCACUGUUCGUGCUUAAUGAAUGUUAAAGGGAAUUGGUUGAUGUGAAUGCUUGAAUAGAUUAAGGCAAGUUGUUAGGUUGCAUUGUGACGAGUAUGGCUAACGUUUUUGAGUAAGGGUCUAUCAUCUUGCAACCUAGAAUUAGUGACCAUCUCUACAAGACUUGUUGAGCUAUCAAAGCGUCUUUGGAUCCUCCUCAUUUCCCACUCAACCAGACAUCUGAGCAUACAAAUAGGAGAGGAUGAAGCAUCUACUCGACCAAUUGAUCACUCGGAGCAUAGACACAAAGGCGCAAACUUUGCAGCACCCUCUUCACUCGAUCCCCAAGGUCGAGUAUUCGCCCAAACCGCCUUAAGUCUCUUCUCUUCUAGUGAAUCUAGGGUUUCCAACAUUUUAGUAUAAAUAGAUCAUUUGAGGUUUGUCCAAAAGAGCUAGACUUUAUCUUUCAGUUUUUCUUUGUGUUUAUGAAUCUUGAAACUUUAAUUACUCUUAAUCUAUUUCGUUUUUGCAUUUAAUUGUUUAAGUAGAGUUGUUUAGAUUGUUUAGAUCUACAUUUUGGUAUGAUUUCAGUAAUUUCUGGGUUUGUGUUCUUGAGAAUGUUGCUUGAGUAGUGAUUAGGGUUCUUGAGGAUGGAUUAGAUUAGGGUAAUCUCUAGGUUAGUUAGGUGGUUAAUGUUUAGGUUUAUACCCUUCUGGAUUCCAUUGGCCCCUAUGCGGUUUUCGCUGGCUAAUAUGGAGAUUCGAUCACAGACGUCCAGCGUCCAAAAGACGUUCAAAUGGAUGUCUGACCUACGAAUUCCAGAGAUAUGUAGACUCGACCAAGGGAUUGGCUUGCCUGCCUAUUGGCAUUGGUACAUUGUUUCUUAAACCCUGCUCUUCUGUGUUUCAUCAACGAGAGUUGAGAUUAGGAAGUGGUAGAGUUAUGGGGGUCUCUGUCACGAGAGUGGAUUGACGUAGUUUUUGAAUCUAUCGUCAUGGGUAUCUACCUUUCGCCUAUUAGCCAUUUGAUGAACCCUAGAGUUACCCUUAUCAAUGAAUCCAUCCUUAGAACUUCUAUUAGAUUUGUUUGUAUCCCCUGUUGAUUGCACUUUUAUUUACCUUGGUCGAGUCUACAAAUCUCUGGAAUUCGUAGAUCAGACAUCUAUUUGAACGUCUUUUGGACGAUGGACGUCUAUGAUCGAAUCUCCACAUUAGCCAGCAAUAACCGCAUAGGGGCCAAGCGAAUCUAGAAGGGUUCUAACCUAAUCUUAACCACCUAACUAACCUAGAGAUAACCCUAAUCUAAUCCGUCCUCAAGAACCCUAAUCACUACUCAAGCAACAUUCUCAAGAACACAAACCCAGAAAUUACUGAAAUCAUACCAAAAUGUAGAUCUAAACAAACUAAACAACUUUACUUAAACAACUAAAUGCAAAAACGAAAUAGAUUAAGAGUAAUUAAGUUUUGAAGAUUCAUAAACACAAA
rnacentral:sRNA from 1 species